rnacentral:rRNA from 1 species
GAUGAACGCUGACAGAAUGCUUAACACAUGCAAGUCGAUUCAAGUUACCUUCGGGUAAUGAGGAUGGCGGACGGGUGAGUAACGCGUAAGGAACUUGCCUCUUGGUCUGGGACAACUGUUGGAAACGACAGCUAAUACCGGAUAUUAUGAGAUUCUCGCAUGGGAAACUUAUGAAAGCUAUAUGCGCCAAGAGAGAGCCUUGCGUUCCAUUAGCUAGUUGGUGGGGUAACGGCCCACCAAGGCGACGAUGGAUAGCCGGCCUGAGAGGGUGAACGGCCACAAGGGGACUGAGACACGGCCCUUACUCCUACGGGAGGCAGCAGUGGGGAAUAUUGGACAAUGGGCCACAAGCCUGAUCCAGCAAUUCUGUGUGCACGAUGAAGGUCUUCGGAUUGUAAAGUGCUUUCAGUUGGGAAGAAGAAAGUGACGGUACCAACAGAAGAAGCGACGGCUAAAUACGUGCCAGCAGCCGCGGUAAUACGUAUGUCGCAAGCGUUAUCCGGAUUUAUUGGGCGUAAAGCGCGUCUAGGCGGAAAAAUAAGUCUGAUGUUAAAAUGCGGGGCUCAACUCCGUAUUGCGUUGGAAACUGUUUUUCUAGAGUACUGGAGAGGUGGGCGGAACUACAAGUGUAGAGGUGAAAUUCGUAGAUAUUUGUAGGAAUGCCGAUGGAGAAGUCAGCUCACUGGACAGANACUGACGCUGAAGCGCGAAAGCGUGGGGAGCAAACAGGANUAGAUACCCUGGUAGUCCACGCCGUAAACGAUGAUCACUAG